rnacentral:rRNA from 1 species
GAAUUGACGGGGGCCCGCACAAGUAGCGGAGCAUGUGGUUUAAUUCGAAGCAACGCGAAGAACCUUACCUAAGCUUGACAUCCCAUUGACCUCUCCCUAAUCGGAGAUUUCCCUUCGGGGACAGUAGUGACAGGUGGUGCAUGGUUGUCGUCAGCUCGUGUCGCGAGAUGUUGGGUUAAGUCCCGCAACGAGCGCAACCCUUGUGAUUAGUUGCUACGCAAGAGCACUCUAAUCAGACUGCCGUUGACAAAACGGAGGAAGGUGGGGACGACGUCAAAUCAUCAUGCCCCUUAUGAUCUGGGCUACACACGUACUACAAUGGCCAUCAACAAAGGGAAGCAAAGCCGCGAGGCGGAGCAAAUCCCCAAAAAUGGUCCCAGUUCGGAUCGCAGGCUGCAACCCGCCUGCGUGAAGCCGGAAUUGCUAGUAAUCGCGGAUCAUCAUGCCGCGGUGAAUACGUUCCCGGGCCUUGUACACACCG